ACCACCUGGCUCCUACCCUGUCCCAACUUUCACGCCAUUUGAGCCCGGGGGGUGUGAUACCCCCCUGCCUCCGCAGCUUCUGUGGGCUGGAGGUGAUCCCUGAAUCCCUCUGGCAGGUGACCCAUCCAUCUCUUUUCAUAUUGAGGGCCUCUCUUCUUCCUUGUCUAUGCCUCUUAAUGUGUUUUUUCCCCUGCUGUUGAGUGUGACUAGUAUUUCAUCCCUGGAAAGCCUUUCAGGAUGUUCAGCCAAGUGCUGUUUUUUAAAAAAGGAUAAUAAUAAUGUGUAUUUGUAUGUGCAUACGCGUGUGCAUUGCUGCCUGUACGUUUGUGUACAAGCAUUUCCAUAAGUCCCCAGAUGUGUGUACACCUCUCAUUUCCAAAAGCAGCAAAAUGAUCCUUGUCAGAGGAACUGAUUUACUGCAGCAUUUAAUGAGGUUCUUGUCAGAACCUGGUUUAGUGGUGUAAAAGCAAAUGUCAGGUCAGCAUAAAUCACAGGGGAAGGGGACGGACGGAAAGAAAUGCUCCACUUCUCCCUAAGAGAUAAACCAGCUCCCUGUUUAAAGUGGUCUCCUCCUUGAUCUGCCAUUUGAGAUAAGCUAAUAUACAGCACCAUUAAGUGCCCUCUCCUGCCUUAAUUGCUGAUUAACUGGAGGGGCAGGGCCCCAGCUGGGCAGGGUUCAUCCCCCCGGGUUCUGAUGGCUUCCAAGCCCAGGACCCUCACCCUGCCGUGAACUCCUUUUGCUCCCACAACGGGCAUUGCUCCUUUCUUCUUUACACCCUCUGAAGCGAGGGGAUGCCUGCCCUGGGGUGGCAGGCAGAUGCAGGAGCAGAGCAAAAUUUUUGCAGAGCUCCAAAGGAAAGCUGUGAAGCUGCUGGGGGCAUCCCACAGCGCUGCAGCAGGGAAAGCUGCCUUGCUGGGGCUGCGGUGCUCACUUGGUUUCUUAGGAGUUCAUGUCAGAUGGAGAGAUUCCCUUUUGUCCAGCGAGGAUGAGUUGUGCCUGAGAACUUUGCCCCUGCUCCAAGGCUGGAGCCUGCCACAGCCUCCCGUUUUCAUGGAAUCUGCGUGA
rnacentral:lncRNA from 1 species